UAGUUAGAUCUCAAGUAAACUUUACAAAUAGAGUACUGGAAUUAAUUUACAUUUAAAAAUAAAUUAGCCCGGUGGCAUAAAAUUAAAUCCGAGGCUCCAAAUAAAAAUUUCAGCAAAUUCCCCUUUUAUCUGUUAACACCGAAAAAUAUCAGCUGCUAUACAGAAAUUAUUUGUGCAUUAUUCCUGGGAGAAAGCAAGCAAGCAGCUCUCAUGGCAGUCUUUAUUUUCUAUGACCCUAACUUAUCCUCUAUGAUCCUGAAUAAAUGGUAGGUAGUACCCCUGCACUAAACUUGGGAAGUACUUAAGUAAGUACAGUCACUUUAAAAGAACUGAUCACAGAUGUCUAAAAUUAAAACAUUUAUUAAUAAACAAAGUAUCUCUCGUAAAUGGGCCAAGAAACAAUUCUAAGACAAAAGUGAACCCUAGAAUAUAGAUAUUCCCAGAAGACAAUUUUCCAAGAUACCUAGCCAAACAAUUUUCACUUAGUCACAAAAGUAAUUUUCAUCGAAGGCUACAGUCAUUUCUUUUUCUAAUUCUGUUCUCUCAUUUCUUUUUAAGCAUGAUCUUAAUAAAGCAUAUACCCGUCAAAGACUUCUCUUUGCAAAAGACACGGGAACGGCAGUCAAGAAGAGGACUUCGAAGCCCAGUCACUCUACUGACGCGAAGUUUAUGGCUGUGUGUAACUUAGCCUCUCUGCUUCUGUUUUCUUGUCUGCAGUGGUAUUAGUUUUAGAGCCAGAGUUUCACCAUGUUGCCCAGGCUGGUCUCAAACUCCUGGCCUCAAGCAGUCCGCCCGCCUCGACCUCCCAAAGUGCUGGGAUUACAGGAGUGAACCACCACCUUGGCCAAGUUUCUUAAUACAAGGCUGGAGUGCAACGGCGUGAUCUUGGCUCACUGCAACCUCCUCCUCCCCGGUUCAAGAGAUUCUCAUGACUCAGUCUGCCUGGGAUCCUCAGGCUGGUCUUAAACUCCUUAGCUCAAGCCAUUCUCCUGCGUUGGCCUCCCUAAGUGUUGGAAUUACAGGCGUGAGACACUGCACCCAGCAUCAAACUUUCAAAGCAACAUGAUAGAUCCAUAGUAUAUGUCUUCAUGGUUGCAGACCUCUGCAUGAGCAAGUGUUUCUGGAGAAAGAAAUUGGACUGCUUGCCAACAACAACACUCGGAACACCUUGAGGAUUGUAAACCUGUGACCAUCUAUACCUGCCAUCCAUUCCUGCUAGCAUCUUUGAAAUAUGUAGCAACAAAAUGACCAGGAAGUUUGCGAAGUGAAUCCUUAGUAAAGGAAUAGCGAUGGAGAACAGAGCAGCUAAUCUCACUGCCAAGAGAAGGAAAACCAAAGGGAGCCUCAAGUCAUCAGGUACCAGGACAUUCAGGGCUUUAAAGUUGCUGCCUUCACUUUGUGGGCCAUUUGAAGAGAUCUGUACAGAACUUGAAAACAAGUUGUAAAAGAAUCUUGCCCAGCAGAAGCAAGGGUCUGCCAGGGAUUUUUGCUCAUUCCCUUUUUGUUUUCCAGGGUUGCUUCCUCAGCUUACAUUUUCCCCUUUCAACUCACUCCCUGGAUGGUUUAAUUCCCAUCUGGGUAUACCAUUACUUAUACUAGCUAUGUAGAAAUGCACUUUCCUUGGUGCUCUGCUGGUCUCCUCCUGGACAGCUGCAUCCACCUCCUCUCCAUGUGUCUAAUGCACAUCCAUCAACUUGCCCCUCACUCUCUUACUGCCCCUAUUUUGUUUCAUGGCUUUACCAUUCACUCAGCUGUUAACUUGAGAAACUUCAGUUCUCUUUCCCCCUUUCUCUGUAGCACCUUCUUCACCUAAACAAACAUUCAGUGAGGCAUUAAGUCUGGCCACUUCUGCCCAUGGAAUGUUUCUGGAAUCCUUGGACUUUGCAAGAGACUUUUAUUUAUUUUUAAUUUUUUAAAUUAUUUUUUAAAGACAGAGUCUCACUCUGUCACCCAGGCUGGAGUGCAGUGACACAAUCUUGGCUCGCUGCAACCUCCACCUC